ensembl:lincRNA
AUGGUAUGUACAUGUGUGUUUUUGUGUGUGCAUCCAUGUGAGUUCAAUUUAAAUAAUAAAUUUUGCACUAAAUUUGAAUUGCCUUCCAAUUUUUAUAUUAUAUUUACUUUGAUUUCUUCAUUUUUUUUCUUUUCAGAAAAGCCUGAGAAGAGACUAGGAGAUAUUCGAGAAAAAUUUGAACAUAUGAUAGUAGAUGGACCUCCGGUAAAAAAUGGUAUGGCUCAGACGGUAAAGCGUCUGCCUACAAUGCGGGAGAUAGGGGUUCGAUCCCUGGGUGGGGAAGAUCCUCUGAAGAAGGAAAUGGCAACCCACUCCAAUACUCUUGCCUGGAAAAUCCCAUGGGAGGAGCCAGUCACUGGAUUUAAAUCAGAUGUGCAUCAUUCAGGAGAGGAUCAUAAUAUAAACCACAAAAUACAAGUGGAUAAUCAUGGGAAAAUAUUUGAAAUUCAUGAAAAAAGUGCCCCUGGAUUUGAGUCACAAGUGCUUAAUGUCAGAGUGGAUCAAAACAGAAACUCCCAAAAUCAAGGCACUGGAUAUAAAUCACGUGUGCUUCAUUCAGGUGUGGAUCAAAACAGAAACGUCCCAAAUCAAGAUAUUUUAGGGAAAAAAUUUGCCCCUCAGGAAAGCAGUGGUAAGUAAAAACUUAUUACUCAUAAAUGACUUUUGCAUGACUAAUUUCUUCACACCUAACCAGUCACAGUCUCUUAAUCCAUAGGUUUCCCUGUCUUGCCCUUUCCCUGGUUGUCUGUCUUCUAUCUCCAAAUUUGUUAUAGACUUUUUAGGAAGAUGUUCUCUCCAUUUAGUUUCUCCUCCUAAAAGCCAUUUCAAUUCCCAUUUUUCCCAUUCCACAUCAUUUCUUUCCUACACAUAUCAACAUUUUCUGUUUUCCUCAGUCUGUCUCUGAGGACUUGAUACAGGCCCCCUGAAAACUUGAAGAGACGGAGAACAUUAAAUUGAAAGCACAGGGUUCAAUCCUGUUUACCUUCUGGGCACAUCCCUAGUCAGGAACUUCAUCAUAUUCUAUUUUUCAGGGCACACAUUUAGGUCAAUAAGACUUUGCUAGAUGUACACAGUUGAGAGAAGAUACCUAAUAGGCUGAGUGAAGUUUGUCUAUUCAUUGUGCCUUCAAAGCCUGUGUAAAUUCUGCUUCACUUCUUGGUCCAUAAACUUGACAUACAUUUUUCCAUUCUACCCAGAUAUGUUACCCUAGUAUUCCCAGGCAUAAGAAUAUUUCCAAGUUAUUCUUGGAAUUUUUUUCUUCCAACAAUGGUAAUUUUUCCCUUUUUAUUUGAAUUUUUGUUUUGCAUUUUGAAUGCCGCAAUGAUCAUCUUGGCCACCCAAACUUUGUUUAGUGGUUUUUUUUUUUAAUUUUUAUUUUUACUUUAUUUUACUUUACAAUACGAUUUUGUUUUUGCCAUACAUUGACAUGAAUCCACCACGGGUGUACAUGCGUUCCCAAACAUGAACCCUACUCCCACAUCCCUCCCCAUAACAUCUCUCAUCCCCGUGCACCAGCCCCAAGCAUCCUGUAUCUUGCAUCGGAUAUAGACUGGCGAUUCGUUUCUUACUGUUUAGUGUUUUUAAAAGAAAUAUAUAUUCCAGGAAAUUUUCAGUUGUUUAUAUCUCUCUCAGGCUUCCCUCAUAGCCCAGUGGGUAAAGAAACUGCCUGCAAUGCAGGUGAUGUCAGUUCGAUUCCUGGGUCGGGAAGAUCUACUGGAGAAGCAAUAGGCUACCUGCUCCAGCCUCUCUCACCAGAAAGCUUCCAUAAGCCUCUUAUCCUUCUCCAUCAGAGGGCAGACAGACUGAAAAUCACAAUCACAGAAAACUAACCAAUCUAAUCACAUGGACCACAGCAUUGUCUAACUCUUUGAAACUAUGAGCCAUGCCAUGUAGGGCUACCCAAGAUGGAUGGGUCAUGGUGGAGAGUUCUGAAAAAAUGUGAUCCACUGGAUAGGGAGUGGCAAACCACUUCAGUAUUCUUGGCUUGAGAAUCCCAUGAACGGAAAGGCAAAAAGAAGAGAAACUGAAAGAACUCCUCAGGUCGGUAGGUGCCCAGUAUGCUACUGGAGAUCAGCAGAGAAAGAACUCCAGAAAGAAUGAAGAGACGGACACAAAGCAAGAACAACACCCAGUUGUGGAUGUGACUGGUGAUGGAAGCAACGUCUGAUGCUGUAAAGAGCAAUAUUGCAUAGAAACCUGGAAUGUUAGGUUCAUGAAUCAAGGCAAAUUGGAAGUGAUCAAACAAGAGAUGGCGAAGCAAGAUCCAAUGCUGUAAAGAGCAAUAUUGCAUAGGAACCUGGAAUGUCAGGUCCAUGAAUCAAGGCAUAUUGGAAAUGGUCAAACAGGAGAUGGGAAGAGUGAACGUUGACAUUCUAGGAAUCAGCGAACUAAAAUGGACUGGAAUGGGUGAAUUUAACUCAGAUGACAAUUAUAUCUACUACUG